ACUCGAAUCCCAGAUGGCGGCCACGAACUACUGUUUCGAGGAUUUUUAUCGCCGAAAUCAGCAUCUAAAGUCUACAGAGUCAUCGAAGUAAUCGACGUCUAUAACGUGCAACACGUAGAACGAGGCGCCGAUUCGGGAGAAGCCACACAGAUAA